rnacentral:tRNA from 1 species
UCCCUGGUGGCUCAGCUGGUAAAGAAUCCACUUGCAAUGUGGAAGACCUGGGUUCAAUCCCUAGAUUGGGAA